GAGCAUUUCCCUUCUCAUUUCCAGGUUUUCCCAUGGCCCAAAGGUAACAGCAGCCUGCUGUUGAAGAGAGGCAGGGGCCACUCACAAGACAUGGUCUACGUUAGUCCUCAGACGUGGCUCCUUUCUCUCCUGCCUCGUCAGAGACUGGACUCUUCACUUUCUCCAAUUUCUGCAGAUGUCUCUCUGAGGUCUCAAAGAUCUAGUCCUAAACUCUCCUCCAAGACUUUUAAAGAGUGGCUGACAGGGGCUUGGUGCUCCAGCUGGGUGUCAGGUUUGUGCCUCUGAGAUGGGAGAGCCGAGUCUACCAGAGGCCUCCCAGCUCCACGUAAUAUCAAACAGCGAAAGCUCCCCCAGAGAUAUCCAUCUCAACACUAAGACCCAGCUCCACUCAACGACCAGCAAGCUACAGUGCUGGACUCCCUAUGCUAAACAACUAGCAAGACAGGAACACAACCCCACCCAUUAGCAGAGAGGCUGCCUAAAAUCAUAAUAAGGUCACAGACACCCCAAAACACACCAUUGGAUGCGGUCCUGCCCACCAGAAAGACAAGAUCCAGCCUCAUCCACCAGAACACAGGCACCAGCAACCUCCACCAGGAAGCCUACACACCCCAAUGAACCAACCUUAGCCACUGGGGGCCGACACCAAAAACAAAGGGAACUAUGAACCUGCAGCAUGCAAAAAGGAGACCCCAAACACAGUAAGUUAAGCAAAAUGAGAAGUAGAGAAACACACAGCAGAUGAAGGAGCAAGGUAAAAACCCACCAGAUGAAACAAAUGAAGAGGAAAUAGGCAGUCUACCUGAAAAAGAAUUCACAGUAAUGACAGUAAAGAUGAUCCAAAAUCUUGGAAAUAGAAUGGAGAAAAUACAAGAAAUGUUUAACAAGGACCUAGAAGAAUUAAAGAG